rnacentral:rRNA from 1 species
GAUGAACGCUGGCGGCGUGCCUAAUACAUGCAAGUCGAGCGAACAGACGAGGAGCUUGCUCCUCUGACGUUAGCGGCGGACGGGUGAGUAACACGUGGAUAACCUACCUAUAAGACUGGGAUAACUUCGGGAAACCGGAGCUAAUACCGGAUAAUAUAUUGAACCGCAUGGUUCAAUAGUGAAAGACGGUUUUGCUGUCACUUAUAGAUGGAUCCGCGCCGCAUUAGCUAGUUGGUAAGGUAACGGCUUACCAAGGCAACGAUGCGUAGCCGACCGGGGAGGGGGACGGGCCCACUGGGAAGGGAGAACGGGACUGGGCCCCAACGGGGGGCAGGAGUAGGGAAUUUUCCGGAAGGGGGGAAACCUGGACGGACGACCCCCGGGGGAGUGAUGAAGGCCUUCGGGUGGAAAACCGCUUUUAUUGGGGAAAAACAAUUGGGUAGGUAACUAUCCCCGUUUGGAGGGUACCAAAUAAGAAAGCCACGGCAAACAACGG